UCUGGAAACUNUCUGACUUGAGUGCAGAAGGGGAGAGUGGAAUUCCAUGUGUAGCGGUGAAAUGCGUAGAUAUAUGGAGGAACACCAGUGGCGAAAGCGGCUCUCUGGUCUGUCACUGACGCUGAGGCUCGAAAGCGUGGGUAGCGAACAGGAUUAGAUACCCUGGUAGUNCACGCCGUAAACGAUGAGUGCUAGGUGUUAGGCCCUNUCCGGGGCUUAGUGCCGGAGCUAACGCAAUAAGCACUCCGCCUGGGGAGUACGACCGCAAGGUUGAAACUCAAAGGAAUUGACGGGGGCCCGCACAAGCGGUGGAGCAUGUGGUUUAAUUCGAAGCAACGCGAAGAACCUUACCAGGUCUUGACAUCCCGAUGCUAUUCUUAGAGAUAGGAAGUUACUUCGGUACAUCGGAGACAGGUGGUGCAUGGUUGUCGUCAGCUCGUGUCGUGAGAUGUUGGGUNNNNNNNNNCAACGAGCGCAACCCUUAUUGUUAGUUGCCAUCAUUAAGUUGGGCACUCUAGCGAGACUGCCGGUAAUAAACCGGAGGAAGGUGGGGAUGACGUCAAAUCAUCAUGCCCCUUAUGACCUGGGCUACACACGUGCUACAAUGGUCGGUACAACGAGUUGCGAGCCGGUGACGGCAAGCUAAUCUCUGAAAGCCGAUCUCAGUUCGGAUUGGAGGCUGCAACUCGCCUCCAUGAAGUCGGAAUCGCUAGUAAUCGCGGAUCAGCACGCCGCGGUGAAUACGUUCCCGGGCCUNGU
rnacentral:rRNA from 1 species